AACGAACGCUGGCGGCAUGCCUAACACAUGCAAGUCGAACGAGACCUUCGGGUCUAGUGGCGCACGGGUGCGUAACGCGUGGGAAUCUACCCUCAGGUUCGGAAUAACUCAGAGAAAUUUGAGCUAAUACCGGAUGAUGACGUAAGUCCAAAGAUUUAUCGCCUGAGGAUGAGCCCGCUUAAGAUUAGGUAGUUGGUGAGGUAAAGGCUCACCAAGCCGACGAUCCUUAGCUGGUCUGAGAGGAUGAUCAGCCACACUGGGACUGAGACACGGCCCAGACUCCUACGGGAGGCAGCAGUGGGGAAUAUUGGACAAUGGGCGAAAGCCUGAUCCAGCAAUGCCGCGUGAGUGAUGAAGGCCUUAGGGUUGUAAAGCUCUUUUACCCGGGAUGAUAAUGACAGUACCGGGAGAAUAAGCUCCGGCUAACUCCGUG
rnacentral:rRNA from 1 species